CCGCAUGAUUAAAGGUAUUUUCCGGUAGACGAUGGGGAUGCGUUCCAUUAGAUAGUAGGCGGGGUAACGGCCCACCUAGUCAACGAUGGAUAGGGGUUCUGAGAGGAAGGUCCCCCACAUUGGAACUGAGACACGGUCCAAACUCCUACGGGAGGCAGCAGUGAGGAAUAUUGGUCAAUGGGCGAUGGCCUGAACCAGCCAAGUAGCGUGAAGGAUGACUGCCCUAUGGGUUGUAAACUUCUUUUAUAAAGGAAUAAAGUCGGGUAUGCAUACCCGUUUGCAUGUACUUUAUGAAUAAGGAUCGGCUAACUCCGUGCCAGCAGCCGCGGUAAUACGGAGGAUCCGAGCGUUAUCCGGAUUUAUUGGGUUUAAAGGGAGCGUAGAUGGAUGUUUAAGUCAGUUGUGAAAGUUUGCGGCUCAACCGUAAAUUGCAGUUGAUACUGGAUGUCUUGAGUGCAGUUGAGGCAGGCGGAAUUCGUGGUGUAGCGGUGAAAUGCUU
rnacentral:rRNA from 1 species